rnacentral:rRNA from 1 species
GAUGAACGCUAGCGGCAGGCCUAACACAUGUAAGUCGAGGGGCAGCACAGAAACAGCAAUGUUUUGGUGGCGACCGGCGGACGGGUGCGUAACGCGUAUGCAACCUACCUUUAACAGGGGGAUAACGGAGAGAAAUUUCCACUAAUACCCCAUAACAUCGAUCAAGGCAUCUUGAUUGGUUGAAAACUCCGGUGGUUAAAGAUGGGCAUGCGUUGUAUUAGGUAGUUGGUGAGGUAAUGGCUCACCAAGCCUACGAUACAUAGGGGGACUGAGAGGUUAGCCCCCCACACUGGUACUGAGACACGGACCAGACUCCUACGGGAGGCAGCAGUGAGGAAUAUUGGUCAAUGGGGGCAACCCUGAACCAGCCAUGCCGCAUGCAGGAAGACGGCUCUAUGAGUUGUAAACUGCUUUUAAACAGGGAUAAAGCACAGUAUGUAUACUGUGUUGAAGGUACUGUAAGAAUAAGGAUCGGCUAACUCCGUGCCAGCCGCCGCAGUAA